GACGAACGCUGGCGGCGUGCCUAAUACAUGCAAGUCGAACGGUCUUUUCUAUGGAAGCUUGCUUCCACUGAGAAGAUAGUGGCGAACGGGUGAGUAACACGUGGGUAACCUGCCCAUAAGAGGGGGAUAACAUCCGGAAACGGGUGCUAAUACCGCGUAGUUUUCUUGAUCGCAUGAUCGGGAAAGGAAAGACGGCCUUUGUGCUGUCGCUUAUGGAUGGACCCGCGGCGUAUUAGUUAGUUGGUGAGGUAACGGCUCACCAAGACGAUGAUACGUAGCCGACCUGAGAGGGUGGUCAGCCACAUUGGGACUGGGACACGGCCCAAACUCCUACGGGAGGCAGCAGUAGGGAAUCUUCCGCAAUGGACGAAAGUCUGACGGAGCAACGCCGCGUGAGUGAAGAAGGUUUUCGGAUCGUAAAACUCUGUUGUCAGAGAAGAACAAGUUGGAGAGUAACUGCUUCAGCCUUGACGGUAUCUGACCAGAAAGCCACGGCUAACUACGUGCCAGCCGCCGCAGUAAAAC
rnacentral:rRNA from 1 species